UACGUAGGAUCCAAGCGUUGUCCGGAUUUACUGGGUAUAAAGGGUGCGUAGGCGGUCUUGUGCGUCAGAGGUGAAAUAUCCGGGCUUAACCCGGAGGGUGCCUUUGAUACGGCAGGACUUGAGUACGAGAGAGGAUGAUGGAAUUCCUGGUGUAGCGGUGAAAUGCGUAGAUAUCAGGAGGAACACCGGUGGCGAAGGCGGCCAUCUGGCUCGUAACUGACGCUGAGGCACGAAAGCGUGGGGAUCAAGCAGG
rnacentral:rRNA from 1 species